GGGCCCGUAGCUCAAUUGGGAGAGCGCUUCCAUGGCAUGGAAGAGGUCGUCGGUUCGAUCCCGAUCGGGUCCA
rnacentral:tRNA from 1 species